GUUACUUUGGCCGAGUGGUUAAGGCGUGUGCCUGCUAAGUACAUGGGGUUUCCCUGUGAGAGUUUGAAUCUCUCAGGCAAUG
rfam:Ipomoea nil DNA, scaffold: scaffold1525, cultivar: Tokyo-kokei standard.